rnacentral:rRNA from 1 species
CCUACGGGAGGCUGCAGUGGGGAAUAUUGGACAAUGGGGGGAACCCUGAUCCAGCCAUGCCGCGUGUGUGAAGAAGGCCCUCGGGUUGUAAAGCACUUUCAGUGAGGAAGAACGCCUGGUGGUUAAUACCCAUCAGGAAAGACAUCACUCACAGAAGAAGCACCGGCUAACUCCGUGCCAGCAGCCGCGGUAAUACGGAGGGUGCGAGCGUUAAUCGGAAUUACUGGGCGUAAAGCGCGCGUAGGUGGCUUGAUAAGCCGGUUGUGAAAGCCCCGGGCUCAACCUGGGAACGGCAUCCGGAACUGUCAAGCUAGAGUGCAGGAGAGGAAGGUAGAAUUCCAGGUGUAGCGGUGAAAUGCGUAGAGAUCGGGAGGAAUACCAGUGGCGAAGGCGGCCUUCUGGACUGACACUGACACUGAGGUGCGAAAGCGUGGGUAGCAAACAGGAUUAGAUACCCCUGUAGUC